GGGAAUGCAGUUGGACCGGGCCAUACCUGACAAAUGCACACAUGUAAGUUGUUAGCCCGAUGUUUACGUCACAACAAACAGAACGUGAAUUGGGUGUGUUUUCAUCCAUCGGGUUGAGGCAAAUACAUUAAAAGCUGGACAUGCCGCACCGAUAACGCGAUGGUACUGUCGGACUACACUCUGUGGAUCAGGGCCUAAGAAGA